rnacentral:rRNA from 1 species
UACGUAGGGUGCGAGCGUUAAUCGGAAUUACUGGGCGUAAAGCGUGCGCAGGCGGUUUUGUAAGUCGGAUGUGAAAGCCCCGGGCUCAACCUGGGAAUGGCAUUCGAGACUGCAUAGCUAGGAUGCGGAAGAGGGAAGCGGAAUUUCCGGUGUAGCGGUGAAAUGCGUAGAUAUCGGAAGGAACACCAGUGGCGAAAGCGGCUUCCUGGUCCAGCAUCGACGUUCAGGCACGAAAGCGUGGGGAGCAAACAGG